CUGAGAAGCUAAACAAGGCCAGGCCUGGUUAGUACUUGGAUGGGAGACCGCUGGUAGUACAAGGUGCCACAGU
rnacentral:rRNA from 1 species